UUGAGACUCGAACCCAGUGCCUCAUACAUAAGACAUAGUCAGGCAACAGGCCUUUUUGUCCGGGGCACCUGAAAAUUUCCAGUCUCUCGGCACCCAAAGCCUCGCCUGCCCUGGCCCAGGUGGGCCUGGCAGUGUUGUUACUCCUCUUGAGGUCCCCUAAACAGUCCCCCUGUCUUGGAUUUAGAAUCUGUGUGGCCUGGGGGUUCCUAACUUGGAUCCAGGGAUCCUUUACCAGGGAAAUACCUCAACCUGGAAGGUCCAGCUUUCUAUGUGUGGGCGUAUCCGCUUCUGCCUCUGGGAGAAAGUCCACAGCUUCCAUCAAGUGUGAGUGAUUCCAGCCCAGAUGAAUGCUGGGGCCAUUGGCUUUUAUGCAAUCUUCUGUGGCAGAUGAGGAAACUGAGGCUUAGAGAGGUAAUGGUCCCCCAGGUCACACAGGGUGGGUCCCAGGGAAGGACUGAGUUGUCCAGGCCAUUGGUUCUCAUCAGCUGCACUCCUACCCCCAAGAGGGCUUCAUGGUACUACUACCAAGCUUUCUCGUGCAGUGUUCAAUGCAAUUAAUGGUAUUCAUUUUUGUUUUGUUUGGGGUACCAGAGAUUGAACUCAGAGGCACUCGACCACUGAGCCACAUCUGCAGCCCUAUUUUGUAUUUUACUUAGAGACAGGGACUCACUGAGUUGCUUAGCACCUCACUUUUGCUGAGGCUGGCUUUGAGCUCGUGAUUCUCCUGCCUCAGCCUCCUGAGCCACUGGGAUCACAGAUGUGCACCACCAUGCCCAGCCAGUAUUUAAUUUUAAUAAAAGAAAAAGCAUCCAUCAAUUUCAGAAGAAUCAAAAGAUGAUUAUAGCCAGGUGCAAUUACGCCUGUAAUCCCAACUCAGAAGGCUGAGGCAGGAGGAUCCCAAGUUCAAGGACAUCCUGGGCAAUUUAGGGAGACCCUGUCUCAAAAAUAAAAUAACAAGGGCUGAGGCUGAGAGCAGAGCACUUGCCUAGCAUGUGUGAGGCCCUGAGUUUGAUCCCCAGCCCUGAAAAAAAAGGUCACUGGCUCCCAGGUUCUAGGAAUUAAGACAUGAACACCUUGGAAGGCUAUUUUUGAACCUACCACAACCAGUAAUGUGAAUUUUCUAGAUCAAAGUUCUUUAUAAAGUAUAGUAAGAAGAAGGAAGGAGCCAGGAUAAUUUUGGAGACUUUUCUUUUAAUUUUUAUGACUCUUUUCUGUGCUAGGGAUUGAACCUAGGGUCACGUACAUGCUAGAUGAGGGCUCUGCCACUGAACUAUAUCCCCAGAGCUUUUAAGUCCUUUAAAUAAAACAUGACCAAGUCCAGAUGAUUCUGGGUGGGAGUUAGGGUGGCCGAGACAUUGUGCAGACACCUGUGUGCAGGGAAAGCACAAGGGGCAGCGAGGAGGAGCUGAGGACUUUUAAAGAAAUGGUCCCAGCCAGGCUGCUUUUGAAAACUGAACCAGAGAGAGCUCCUUUAGACCCAGUGGGGACAGCUGGGCCUUGGGCCUCUGGAGUGCUGCGUGACCCGUGGGAAAGCCAGGAUUAGCCCCGCAGACGCAGGACACACAUGUGGCCUUUAAUCUGGGAGCAGCUGGUGAGUGGAGGGUGGAGGGCAGAUGAGGCUAUAAAUAGAAACAACUUAAUAACAGGAUUAGAGAAAUUCCUGGACAAUUAGUUCAGAAAAUGCAGGAAUCAGUGUCUGUUAGGGUGAUCAGGUGGCAGCCUCCCAGGUCUGCCCUUGCUGAGGGCGAGUCUCCCCUUUAGUUUGGCGUCUUGGCUGCAGAAAGCUGCAGGGCUGGAGUUCUCAACAGUCCUCAAUGGCAGACUUAGAAUGGGUUGCUUUUUAAAAAUUUAGGCAAAUCACCUCCACAGAGAUGUCAUCGUCACUCAUGUGCUUCUGAGGGCUGAGCAGAGUCUCAGGUUGGGGCGUGGACACGGCUGGAGCAGGGCUAGCAUGCAGGUAUGGGGUGUGUGACCUCCUCACGGGAGGAGUGGCAGGGAAAACCCCAAGAGUCAGCCUUUCAAUAAAAUGUGGCCUGUAAUCCCAGCAGCUCUGGAGGCUGAGACAAGAGGAUUAUGAGUUCAAAGCCAGCCUCAGCUACAGCGAGGCGCUAAGCAACUCAGUGAGACCCUAUCUUAAAUAAAAUACAAAUAAGGCUGGGGAUGUGGCCCAGUGGUCGAGGGCUCCUGAGUUCAAUCCCUGGUACCAAAAGCAAACAAACAAGAAAGUGGUAGAGAUGGAUAGGCCAUCCCGGGCCUCCUCCAGAGAUGCCAUGCCACCCAGUGUAUGCUUAGGCACACAGGACAGUGAACAGCAGCACAGCAACGUCCCUCAGGGCCACUGGGCCUGAAACGCACAGCAGGGAGAUGUCUGGGGAGAAACGGAGCAGCCAGCUCUGCUCCUGUUGCUCCUCUUUCACAGGCCAUCAGUGGGAGCCCCUGGGCCUGCAGGAUGGGGACGUGCACUGAGAGGGCAGUCCACGUCCCCCAAGCCUGGUCACUUUCCCAACAUCCCUUCCCAGUAUGGUGCCUCCUGCAAUCUCCCCAAGAGCUGGCCACUCCUGUCUCCUAGAGCACCCCGCCCGCUGCUCACCCACCUCCAACUCACGCAGGAGACCUGGGCCUCCGAGUGUGCACACAGCCCAUCUGGGGGGCCAGAACAAUGCCUCCUCUCCCAGGUGACAGCUCCACCUCAGUGAAGUAAGGGCUUCUCCCUGACCUGAUGGUGUUGCCUUCAUACGUGUUUGUGUCCCAGGCCAGCCUGGGGACUGCAGGAGGGCGAGAUCAGCCUUCCCUGUGUUCAGGCCCUCCAUUACCUACCUCAGUGUGCAGCACAUAACAGAUGCUCAGUAAAGACUUGUGAAAAGAAGGAGGAGGGGAGGAGUGGGGGAAGGGUGAAGAAAGGAAACAAGGAGUGAGAAAAGGAAUUUGAGACACUGGAGUUGUCUGGGCGCUGGAAGGGGUGCUCUUGAAGAACCCCUCCCCCAGCGUCCUGGCAGCCUGUGGAGCCGGGGGUGCUCUCUGAGCCUCAGCUGGCCCGCCCACUGCGUGCACACCUCGACUUUGCAUUUGUCUGUGACUAUUUCCAUACAAGGAGUGGAGCAGCAACUGCCCUCCGUCCCUCUUGACGCUGACAGGUGAUAGAGCACAGGGCACAGCUGCGGGGCGAGGAGCGAGUGGGGACCAGCAGCCAGGACAAGACACACGUGCUGUAGGAGGGCAGUGGGCUCUGGGGCGUCUGCCCUCAUGCUGGGAGUGGGUGCAGCAGCAGGCACUCGGGUGAGACCCCUGCGGGACAAUGACCACCUGACCAUCGGAGCUCCAAAGGCUGCGGCACCUUGGAGAGCAGGAGGAGCUGGAGGAGAGCAGGGGCUCAGAGGUCACCUGACCAACCUCCCCGUGUGAUGGGCGGGCCAGGCUGCCAUCCAGGGAGCACCCACCCGGUGCCAGGCUAUGCUGGCUACUUCACACCUAUUAUAUCAAAAUCAUUAAAUCCUGAAAAAAAUCACCCUGAGUGUAGAACUUCUUUGUAAAUUUCUUCUUGCUUUAAUUUAAAAGCAGUAAUGAUGUUUCUUUCAAAAGCAACAAAUAUUAGUCUAAAAGAUAUCAAGAUGUAGGUGUUGCCAUUCCCAUCUUCACAUAAGGAAUCAGGGCUUAGAGAGGUUAGGGGACUUGCUAAGGUCUCACAGCCAGCAGAUAUUGGAGUCAGGAGUUGAACCCAGCUCUAACUGACUCCAGAUUUGACCUUCCACAUUAUCCAAAAACUCUGGAGGUUUUCCCUGCCACUCCUCCAGUGAGAAGGUCACACACACCACUGAUGAGGAGAGGUGAGGACCAGAGGGCUAGGCUUCUCCUUCUUCUUGUUUCUAAAUAAGCUUCCUCUUCCUAUCUACCUGGUAUUUCCCAGUGUGCUCCCUGGAAGGAGCAGGAUCCAGGUUCCUCCCAUCUCUACUUUCUCGCUCCUGAAAGUGGAGGCAUCAGUGUCCCCCCAGAACAGGAAGGGCACAAUCCCAGGCCCCUCAGACCUGGCAGCAGAAGAUGGAUUUAGCAGGACCUCCGAGAAUGUGUGUGUAGUGAGCCAGGGCCGCAGUCCGCAGGUGCGGUUCAGGACUAGGGCGGCAGGUAGCUGAAAGAGGGGCCGCCUGUCCCAAGGGGACCAGGAUUUGGAGCUAACUUGCAAUGCUUCCUGGGUUUCACCGGCCUUUGAAGCUGGCUCCAGGCCCGGGGAACUGCAGGAUGGAUCCCAAGCCGACUUCCUGCCUUGGCUCUGGAGGAAGCACUCGCUCACACUCGGACCCACACUAGUCAUGGUGAGAAAAGGCCAUCCUGAUAGUCACGCUUACGAUGUCAGAUUUGUCCCACUGCACAUUUAGUUUUUAUGAGAGGAAUGAAAGCCUCUUAUGGGGAAGUGACGAGGUGGAAGGAGGUGGGACAUUGCACUGAUAGGCUUACUGAUCCGAGGCAGGCGACAAUCAGUGAUUGGAAGGCUUCCUGUCACUCAGCCUGGAGUGAAGGGUGAAGGCCUCACAGGAGCAGCCAGGGCUCUGUCUCCAGCCUCCUCCCCAAAGUGGUUGCUCUUGACCUUGAAGCCGCAUGGUCCAACCCUCUGGAAUUUAUUCUUAGGAACAUAAUUUGGCUAUAGUUCAUUGCAAGUGGAUUAUUCUAAAUUCAGGCCUUAGUAGAAGUGAUUUAAGUCAGCUCCUGGGAGCUGGGGACAAGUGCCAGGCCAGGAAAACACACCCUAGCGAACCUCGGGCCAUGCAGACCCAGGGCAGGCGGGAUAGGGGUCCAGCCAGGGGCAGGCCAUAGGGGGCAUUGUCUGCACAGUUACAAAUCAAUGACAACCAAGUCCUACUCAUCUGUUUCUACAGUCAUCAUGACCCGCAGCCCUCGACCAUGUCAGACCGUGGGCUCCUGCCUGCCAAAACCCAUGUUCUGAACAGUUGCUGUUGACUGACCUUCACAUUGGCACAUUUAAAAACACUGUCUUCUGCCCGGGGUUUGACUGGACAGACUCUCAGUGGCACCAUUGUUCCCUGAUACAGCAGGCCGGGCUGCUGUGUUCGCUUUGAGAGCUGCUCUGGGGACGAGACUCCUUCAGCUUGUGCUGGCCACGUCUCCAAUCCCGUGAUACCACAUGGGUUAGGCCAAGCAGUGAACGCAAACGUCAAACAUCUAUUAUGCCAGGUGAUCGCCUAGAGCUAUUCACAUUUAAGAUUUAUUUAAUUUAUUAAUUUUUUUUGUACCAGUCAUUAAACCCAGGGGCACUUAACCACUGAGCCACAUCCUUAGCCCUUUUGAAUAUUUUUAUUUAUUUUAUUUAGGGUCUUGCUGAAUUGCUUAGGGCUUUGCUAAGUGGCUCAGGCUGGCUUUGAACUCUCCAUCCUCCUGCCUCAGCCUCCUGAGCUGCUGGGAUCACAGGUGUGCACUGCCAUGCUUGGUUUAAGAUUUAUUUUUUAUUAAAAAAUAUUUAAUAAUUUGGGGGUUGUUGGGGAUUGAACACAAGGCCUUCCUCUUGCUACGCAUGUGCUCCACCACUGAGCUACACCCCCAGCCCCCAGUAUUUAACCUUUAAAACAGUGACCUGGGCACUGUGAUAUUUUUAAUAUUUCAUAAAUUUUUGAAGUUUUUGCAAAUUUCAAUGUAUCCAUGAAAUAUGAAUAUAUAUUAUAUUUAUAUAUGUGACUAAAAUAUGAGGUAUAUUAGAUGCUCUAAAAAUAUCAAUUUGGGGGCUGGGGUUGUGGCUCAGUGGCAGAGUGCUUGCCUUGCACAUGUGAGGCACUGGGUUCGAUCCUCAGCACCACAUAAAAAUAAAUAAACAAAAUAAAGAUUAAAAAAUGUAUAUUUUAAAAAACAAAUACCAAUUUGAGUGUAAGGCAUUAGACAGUCCCAGUGUGGGGUUUUCUCUGAUGGAUGACCCUGGAGGGGACAGUCAUAGAGUGCCAAGUGACAGCAGGCACCACUGUGCAGCUUCUAACAGUCCCGCCCCAGGUCUUGCUAGCCACCCUCUUUCCUGCCUGUGUUUCUGUGCCAUCUGGUCCUGAUGUCCCAGAGGUGGCGUCUCCUGCUGUUCCUCCUUCCCCAAGGAAAGGCUCUCAGGUGUGCCGAGGCCUGGAAGCUAACACACCAGCACAGAAGACGCUCUUGAUGAAAGGGAACGCCACACCACAAGCAGCCAGGAGGGGACAAUGGUGAUGCCUCCAUUUCCUGUGAGGCAGUUCAGAGCCAGGAAGGAACUUCUGGCUAUGAUGUGUGUGUGCGCCAUCUUGAUGACGGUCUGGUACACAGAUGUGCACCAUCUUGGUGAUGGUCUGGUACACAGAUGUGCACCAUCUUGGUGACGGUCUUGUGGACAGAUGUGUGCGCCCUCUUGGUGAUGGUCUGUGGACAGAUGUACCUGUUGGAAUCUGUCCAAGCGUACACACUUUCAGGGUGGCCUGAAUGCACUUUGCUUGGGGAAAAGGACAUGAGCUUUCAGGGGCUGGAGUAGGUUCCUACAGUUUGAACUUUUUUUUUUUUUUGUACUAGAGAUUGAACCCAGGGACACUUUAUCACUGAACUACAUCCCCAGUCCUUCUUGAUUUUUUCUGUUGAGACAGGGUCUCACCAAGUUGAUGAGGGUGGCACAAAGUUGCUGAUGUCGGCCUCAAACUCUUGAUCCUCCUGCCUUAGCCUCCCAAGUUGCUGGGAUUACAGGUGUGUACCACCAUGCCUGGCUUAUAGCUUGAAUUUUGAAUGUCCCUCCAAAGCCCAUGUGUCAAAGGCUAUCACCAGCUGGCUGGACUGGUGACAUGAACUGGGUUCAAGGGAGCUGGUUGUAUAAAUAACUAUGAAAACGGUGAAGAAACAUGCAGCAAAUGAACAUAAGUUUCUAAGGCAGGACAGUUUGGUGACCCCAAAGGGGAGCUCCAGUGCUGGAAGGAGCAAGAGAGUGAGCAUACCCCAAACCCCUGUUUUUAUUUAGGGGAAAGACGUUUGAGAAAGUUCCACUCCAGGGCUGGGGAUGUGGCUCAAGCGGUAGCGUGCUCGCCUGGCAUGCGUGUGGCCCGGGUUCGAUCCUCAGCACCACAUACAAACAAAGAUGUUGUGUCCGCCAAAAAAAACUAAAAAAUAAAUAUUGAAAAAUUCUCUCUCUCUCUCUCUCU